AUGAGGAGGAAGCAGUUCACUGUCUUGGAUCCUUGGUGCCGCCUCUGGUCUCCAGAGGGCGAUGUUACACAAAGGCAGCACCUGUUUCUACCCCAGAUCAUCAUCAUCAUCAUCCCCCUGAGCCCCUCCUCCCUGCAGCUGGCUGGUCCAUUUUUGAAACUUGUCAAAGCAAGAGACUUGUCCAGCCCAGCUUCCCCAUUCCUCCUGGCUCCUGAGGCUCAGAGACCUUGGCCACCGCCCCACCUGCCCAGGUCCUGCAGCGUUGCCACUGCUCAGCCAUGCCCCUGCUGCUCUUCUUGGUGCUUGAGGGGAUUUUUGCCCUUGGAGGGACCAGGGCCCAGACGGUGACUCAGCCUGACCUUCACGUCACUGUCACUGAAGGAGCCUCUCUGGAGCUGAAAUGCAGCUACACAGCUUCUUUUACACCAACCGUCUGGUGGUAUGUGCAAUACCCCAACCAAGGACUCCAGCUUCUCCUGAAGUACAUAUCAGGGAGCACCCUGGUUAAAGGCAUCCAAGGUUUCGAGGCUGAAUUCAGGAAGAAUGAAACCUCCUUUCACCUGAAGAAACACUCAGCCCAUUUGAGCGACUCAGCCCAGUACUUCUGUGCUGUGCGGGACACAGUGCCUGGGGCUGCAGGGGGAGCUGAACACAAACCUGCCGAGACACUAGGACUUCCU